UCUGAUCUCUGAAGAAGAAGAAGACUACUGAAUACGAAAUUAAUCACAGAUUGCUGCAAAUUCGCGUUAAUUAGCUGCGUACUUGUUGCUAAUUCGUACUUGGGAAGCUGAAACAUUGGAGAAUCUGCGAAUCCAAGUCCGUUGUUACUCAGCUUCUGGUUCUGUUUGGCUGCGAAUGUGAUUGGUUUUGUCUAUGAUAUGUGAUCUUGUAUACCUGUUAUCUACUAGCAUCCGGAGAUCACGACAUAAUCUGCGGCAUUUCUUGGAAUUUGGUCUUGAUCAAGUUUUGUGACAUGGUGUUAUGCAGGAGGAUUUGUUGUGCAAUUUCCAAAUUACGUAGUCCCUGAUCUCACUGGCUUUAAGAUGAAACCAUAUGUAUCUCAGAGUGUCGUAUACAAGUGAACACAAACGAGUCAACCGAAGAUUCCAAGUAACCAUCAGGAGAUAGAGGUCAAGGGGAGUGGGAAGCUGCUGCAGACAUAAUGGAAGGGAACGAAUCAUCUGACAUAAUAGCAGUAUAAAGAGUCACUUCUAAUAUGAGUGUGAAGAUCGCAAACACUUAGUAGUCAGCAUAAAGUUGUAUAUGUUAUUGUUACUGUUAAAAGAUUAAUAAACAUAAGUUGAUCACUAUGAAUCAGUACUGAAACAGAGUUGAAAACA